CGUCCAUCAAGUUCAGCUUUCCUCACAUUUGUUUUUUGCUGUUGAUCCAAAAGAAGGCAAAAAAAUUUUUGCAACAAGCUAGGAAAUAUUUUUCCUUCUUGACCCCAAAAUGGCAGUCAGAUCAAUCCUUGGAUCAAGCAGUUAUUACCUUACAUUGAAAAAUUAUAUAAUUGAAUAUUCUGUUUUUGCAAGUAUGCAUCUAGUAGCUGUUUGAACAUCUGUAUGGACUCUGAUAAAACCACUUCUUCAGGCAGAUAAUUCCACAUUCUUAUUGUUGUAAAAAACCAAAAAAAUGUUCCUUUGCCUUAGACGAAAUCUUUCUUCCAGUCUAGACCUCAUGUUCUAUGUAAAAUCCGGUUUGUGAAUAGAUUUCCACACAAUGGUUUGUAUUGGCCCAGAAUAUAUUUGUAUAAUGUUAUCAUUUGUGUUAACCUUUCUUCACAGCUGAUAUGUUAUUAUUAUUAUACAGCUGAUAUGUUCCAUUCCUUUUAUUAAUUUUGUAGCCUCUGCACUUUUUCUAGUGCCAUAAUAUCCUUCUUUAGAACAGGUGCUCAAAAUUUCACAGCAUAUUCAAUAUGUGGUCUUACCAGUGAUUUAGAAAGAGGCAAAAUGAUAUUCUCGUCCUGAGAAUGAAUGUCCUUUUUCAUGCAUGACAAUAC